GAACGCGAAGAACCUUACCCACCUUUGACAUGUAUGGAAUCCUUUAGAGAUGAAGGAGUGCUCGAAAGAGAGCCAUAACACAGGUGCUGCAUGGCUGUCGUCAGCUCGUGUCGUGAGAUGUUGGGUUAAGUCCCGCAACGAGCGCAACCCUUGCCAUUAGUUGCUACGAAAGGGCACUCUAAUGGGACUGCCGGUGACAAACCGGAGGAAGGUGGGGAUGACGUCAAGUCCUCAUGGCCCUUAUAGGUGGGGCUAGAAACGUCAUACAAUGGCCGGUACAAAGGGUAGCCAAGCCGCGAGGUGGAGCCAAUCCCAUAAAGCCGGUCGUAGUCCGGAUCGCAGUCUGCAACUCGACUGCGUGAAGUCGGAAUCGCUAGUAAUCGUGGAUCAGCAUGCCACGGUGAAUACGUUCCCGGGUCUUGUACACACC
rnacentral:rRNA from 1 species